GAAUUCGCCCUUAGAGUUUGAUCCUGGCUCAGGAUUAACGCUGGCGGCAUGCCUAAUACAUGCAAGUCGAACGAGAGUACUUGUACUCUAGUGGCGAACGGGUGAGUAACACGUGGGCAACCUGUCCUAAAGACGAGGAUAACAGUUGGAAACGACUGAUAAUACUGGAUAGUUUAACGAAACGCAUGUUUUGUUAAUUAAAGGUGGUAACAUCGCUUUAGGAGGGGCCCGCGGUGCAUUAGCUAGUUGGUGAGGUAACGGCCCACCAAGGCUACGAUGCAUAGCUGUGCUGAGAGGCAAAACAGCCACACUGGGACUGAGACACGGCCCAGACUCCUACGGGAGGCAGCAGUAGGGAAUUUUCGGCAAUGGACGCAAGUCUGACCGAGCAAUGCCGCGUGAACGAUGAAGGUCUUCGGAUUGUAAAGUUCUGUUGUUAGGGAAGAAAAAAAUGACGGUACCUAACUAGAAAGUCCCGGCUAACUAUGUGCCAGCAGCCGCGGUAAUACAUAGGGGACAAGCGUUAUCCGGAAUUAUUGGGCGUAAAGAGUGCGUAGGCGGUUUAUUAAGUCUGGUGUGAAAUUUCAUGGCUUAACCAUGAAGGGUCAUUGGAAACUGGUAAACUUGAGUACGGUAGAGGUAAGUGGAAUUCCAAGUGGAGCGGUGGAAUGCGUAGAUAUUUGGAGGAACACCAAUGGCGAAGGCAGCUUACUGGGCCGGAACUGACGCUGAUGCACGAAAGCGUGGGGAGCAAAUAGAAUUAGAUACCCUGGUAGUCCACGCCGUAAACGUUGAGUAUUAAGUGUCGGGUGUAAACUCGGUGCUGUAGUUAACACAAUAAAUACUCCGCCUGGGGAGUACGGUCGCAAGACUGAAACUCAAAGGAAUUGACGGGGACUCGCACAAGCGGUGGAGCAUGCGGUUUAAUUCGAUGCAACGCGAAAAACCUUACCAGGCCUCGACAUCCCACUGACCGAUCUAGAGAUAGGUCUUCCCUUCGGGGCAGUGGAGACAGGUGGUGCAUGGUUGUCGUCAGCUCGUGUCGUGAGAUGUUGGGUUAAGUCCCACAACGAGCGCAACCCCUAUCAUUAGUUGCUAACAUUAAGUUGAGAACUCUAAUGAGACCGCCGGCGAUAAGCCGGAUGAAGGUGGGGAGGACGUCAAAUCAUCAUGCCCCCUAUGGCCUGGGCUACACGCGUGCUACAAUGGCUAGUACAAAGAGUUGCAAUACCGCGAGGUGGAGCUAAUCUCAUAAAACUAGUCUCAGUUCGGAUUGUAGUCUGCAACUCGACUACAUGAAGUUGGAAUCGCUAGUAAUCGCAAAUCAGCAUGUUGCGGUGAAUACGUUCUCGAGUCUUGUACACACCGCCCGUCA
rnacentral:rRNA from 1 species